UUUUAAUUACAAAAGUAAAUAUAUAAUAUAAUAUUUGUUGCUGCCUUGUUCUAUAUAAAUGCUUCUAACAUGCAGGUAACAUUUAUAUAUGUAUUAGUUUGAAUAAAUCAUUUUAAUAAAGUUACAUUAUAGGCAGGAAUGUUUGACUGGAAAUAUAAACGAUGUUGUACAUAAUGCAGAUAGCUUAGGCAAAAAAGAGAUUGGUGAAAUGGAGAAUGAGACUAACUAGGGUGAAAAAAAUGAAUAUUAAUAUGUGAAUGGUACUUUGUUUAACAUCUACCUGUUUCUACAGAUACAGUACAGACGCAUUUAUAAAUGGGCUUGAUGUUUUUUUGAAUUAAAUAUGUUGUAUUGA
rnacentral:lncRNA from 1 species